rnacentral:lncRNA from 1 species
GUGUAUUUUGCUUUACUUUAGGUGGCUUUUACACACAGAUUGUACAGCUUCCAGCCUUGCAGGAUUCUGCAGGUCUGCUUACUAAGGAUUCAGCUUGUGUCACAGUGAUACACAGAUACUAAAUAGCUAAACUACUAUCUAUAGUUGUAUUGCAGGACACUUGCCAGAUGUGAUGUUUGUGUUCCUGACUUUUGCCACUCCAGCAGCUCCUGCUGAGGCAUCAGCUCUCUUACUGAGAUGAAUUACCACACGUAGACAAUCUACCUGGGGUUCAUGUAUGUUCUUCCUCUUUGAUGAGAGAGAGGGAGAGGGAGAGGGAGAGAGAGAGAGAGAGAGAGGGGGGAGAGAGAGAGGGACGGGAGAGAGAGGGACGGGAGAGAGAGGGAGGGGAUAGAGAGAGAGAGAGGGAGAGGGAGGGGAGAGAGAGAAGUUCUCAAUUGGUACAAAAUAUAUAGAGUACAGUACACACUACAAUUACUGAGGUUUAAAUAUAUAGAGUACUGCACACAUUACAAUUACUGAGGUUUAAAUAUAUAGAGUACUGUACACACUACAAUUACUGAGGUUUAAAUAUAUAGAGUACUGUACACACUACAAUUACUGAGGUUUAAAUAUAUAGAGUACUGUACACACUACAAUUACUGAGGUUUAAAUAUAUAGAGUACUGUACACACUACAAUUACUGAGGUUUAAAUAUAUAGAGUACUGUACACACAAUUACUGAGGUUUAAAUAUAUAGAGUACUGUACACACUACAAUUACUGAGGUUUAAAUAUAUAGAGUACUGCAC